UUUUAAACUGAGAAUCGGGUUAUUCAUCACAGCCAUGUUUGGGAAGAAUAAAGUUAAUUUGUCACGAGGUCUACCUCAGUCAAUUACCCAGAGAAGCCAUUCUCAAAGUCAGCAUGUUUGUCCUUUUAGUCACGUAUGAGCUAGAUUUUGUUACUUUUUCCCCUAUUCAAUUAUGGUCUGAUCUACUUAUAGACAUGACUACAUAUAUAUCCAUCACAAUGGAGUAGAUUUUUCACAAAUGGUGAGCUUGGUUACCUGCAACAUAGCAUUAGCAUAUGACUUGCAUUUUAUAAUCACGAUGACUACCUGAAGUCAAUAUGAUUACUAGGGAUGAUGAAUGAAAUAGAAAAUCUGAAAAUGUGCAAGACCUCCCAUAAUGUCCUUGUUGCAGGGUGUUGUUAUGGAUGUGGUGAAAGGAUGCAAAUGAUUCACUUGACGAGUUUUAUUUGGAAGCAAGGCUUAGCGUGGAGUUCCUUGAUCUUUCUAGCUAAAUAAGCUGCAUUGAGAGUGCUGGUAAGGUCACAAUUUUAGAGGCUUAUAGCAAGUGUAUCUCUGCCUCACGGACUGUGUUUAGCAGAGAAAAUGGUUCUUGUUUGUUGAGACCGUAGAAUAGUAUUGUUAACCGGGUCCUGGACCUACCUAUAAAAGGUAAGGCUGAGUUCUGUCCCGUUAGGCCUAAUAUUAAUUUUCGGGUGGUUGUUAUUGUGAUGUAACUCGAGAGACUAUGGCAAGAUCUAUGAUAGCAUAGGCUCCAAAAGCAAGAUGUAGAUGAAUCAUCUCCAUAGUUGUUUCCCCUUGCCAGCAUUGCCGUGCUGGACCUGCACCUGCAUUCUGACUUCAUAUUUUCUUGAUGUGGUUGUCUUGUUGUAUCUAUGUAGAUUAAUAACGUCGUUUGCUAGACAAAGGCCAAUUGGG
rnacentral:misc_RNA from 1 species